ACUAACAAGGAUUCCCCUAGUAACUGCGAGUGAAGCGGGAAAAGCUCAAAUUUAAAAUCUGGCAGUCUUUGGCUGUCCGAGUUGUAAUCUAGAGAAGUAUUAUCCGCGCUGGACCGUGUACAAGUCUCCUGGAAUGGAGCGUCAUAGAGGGUGAGAAUCCCGUCUUUGACACGGACUGCCAGGGCUUUGUGAUGUGCUCUCAAAGAGUCGAGUUGUUUGGGAAUGCAGCUCAAAAUGGGUGGUAAAUUCCAUCUAAAGCUAAAUAUUGGCGAGAGACCGAUAGCGAACAAGUACCGUGAGGGAAAGAUGAAAAGAACUUUGGAAAGAGAGUUAAACAGUACGUGAAAUUGCUGAAAGGGAAACGCUUGAAGUCAGUCGCGUUGGCCAGGGAUCAACCUUGCUUUUUUGCUUGGCUUACUUCCUGGUUAAUGGGUCAGCAUCAAUUUUGACUGGUGGAAAAAGUUCAAGGGAAUGUGGCAUCUUCGGAUGUGUUAUAGCCUUUGCUCGCAUACAUCAGUUGGGAUUGAGGAACUCAGCACGCCGCAAGGCCGGGUUUUAAACCACGUACGUGCUUAGGAUGCUGGCAUAAUGGCUUUAAUCGACCCGUCUUGAAACACGGACCAAGGAGUCUAACAUGCCUGCGAGUGUUUGGGUGGAAAACCCGAGCGCGUAAUGAAAGUGAAAGUUGAGAUCCCUGUCGUGGGGAGCAUCGACGCCCGGAUCUGACCUUUUGUGACGAUUCCGCGGUAGAGCAUGUAUGUUGGGACCCGAAAGAUGGUGAACUAUGCCUGAAUAGGGUGAAGCCAGAGGAAACUCUGGUGGAGGCUCGUAGCGAUUCUGACGUGCAAAUCGAUCGUCAAAUUUGGGUAUAGGGGCGAAAGACUAAUCGAAC
rnacentral:rRNA from 1 species